GCGUCCGUGGCGGAAUUGGCAGACGCGCCAGGUUUAGGUCCUGGUGUCCUUGACGGAUGUAGGGGUUCGAGUCCCCUCGGACGCACCA
rnacentral:tRNA from 1 species